CAAAGGUUCUUCUUAGUUAAAAACACAACUCAUAAAACAAGACAACUACCAGGAAACUAAAGAGCAGAUGAAAUGAGAAGAUGUGACUGUAAUUCCUACACUGGCGGGGGGGAGUGCGCCUGGAAUGCAGCAGGGACCCAACAGUAAGUCCAAACAAAAGCAAUUCCACCUGAAGGGGCCAAGGAUUGUUUCAGCGAGUGUUGCAGAGACAGAAAUUACACACAGAACUCCCGCACCUCCAGCACCUUCCAAAGAAUUGUUUCUCUAAAGAUUCCCACCGUUUUGACAGCCCUUUUCUAAAAUUAGUGUCUCUGUGGCUGUCUCCUGAGAAUUUUAAAAUAAAUUACAUGCGCAGGAAUUUGGAAUUAGAAAUAAAUUAUAUAUUCUGCAGAAAUAUUUUAUUGUUAAAAUACAUUUAGGAGGGAGAAUAUGAUUUAAGCUAGAGCCUAUCCUUUAAACCUCUCCUGUUGAUAAACUGCUGGUGUAGAACGUUUGUUCCUGGUCUUCUUGCCCCUUAUUUAAUUGUACUGAUUUAAAACCUUAAUUUAUAGAAAUGUAUUUAUAGGAUGUUCCACUCUCGUGGAUGAAACACUAUUGAGUCUUAACCUCAAACACUGUGAAAUUCAUCGCUAUACAUUACAUUUUAUACUGUAAUCACCGCAGUGCACGGCAAAGGAAGGAACCAGAGCUUUGUGACCAUCCUUAGAACUCUCCAAAGUGAAGUUGCUUCUUGCCAAUCUUAUCCCCUUUCACGUGAAGCAGUGGUGAUGCUGGGUGGUUGGGAAAACUAUCUACUAUUGAUAAGACUAUUUACUCUUCUUUUUUUUUUCCUUUGAAAAAAAAAUGCGGAUUUCAUUAAUUUUGGAUCAUAAAAGCAUCAUAUGCACAGAAGAAAUUGUGCCAGUGACUGCAUGUGCUUCCCCAGACACACAGGAAAGAAAAACUAUGUCAUGUGCUGCAGGUAAAAAAAGUGUCAGCAUUGCCUAUAUAAGAUGCUGAGAGGAAAAAUGAGCUGGAAGGCACAUCUGCAGCCCCAGAUCAAAUUUUCACUUCACGCUGAUAAGCUCGAGUGUGUAAGAGGUGAGUGUUUACGGGUGAAAAUCACUUUUCUCUUGUUCAGUAAAGCACCAACUUUAUUUGUUGAGCACUUGCGGGGGCGUCUCUGCUGCUUCCCAGCUCCCGGGGACGUAACGCCGCGCGGGGCCGAGCGGGACGGGACCGCGGUGGGUCACGGUCUGUACCUGCUGAGUCCUCCCUCUGCAUCAGAGCAAACGCUGAUGCAAGGUGUCACGUGGUGGAAACCAGGCUGAUGAUUUUCACAUCUGUUAGGCAGGGGAGAGUCUAGAAUGCUCAACUUGUAAACUUUAGAACUAUGGAAUAAAAUGCAGAGUAAGAUUCUGACA
rnacentral:lncRNA from 1 species